rnacentral:rRNA from 1 species
AACGAACGCUGGCGGCAGGCCUAACACAUGCAAGUCGAGCGCUCUCCUCGGAGGGAGCGGCGGACGGGUGAGUAACACGUGGGAACGUGCCCAAAGGUACGGAAUAGUCGAUGGAAACGUCGCUUAAUACCGUAUGUGCCCAUUACCCUUGGCGGGUUUUGGGGAAAGAUUUAUCGCCUUUGGAUCGGCCCGCGUCUGAUUAGGUAGUUGGUGAGGUAACGGCUCACCAAGCCUACGAUCAGUACCUGGUUUGAGAGGAUGAUCAGGCACACUGGGACUGAGACACGGCCCAGACUCCUACGGGAGGCAGCAGUGGGGAAUCAUAGACAAUGGGGGAAACCCUGAUCUUGCCAUGCCGCGUGGACGAUGAAGGCCUUAGGGUUGUAAAGUCCUUUCGACGGGGACGAUAAUGACGGUACCCGUAGAAGAAGCCCCGGCUAACUUCG